rnacentral:rRNA from 1 species
UACAGAGGUCCCGAGCGUUGUUCGGAUUUAUUGGGCGUAAAGGGUGCGCAGGCGGCCAAGUGUGUGAGGCGUGAAAGCCCGGGGCUUAACCCCGGAAUUGCACCUCAAACUACAUGGCUAGAGCAUUGGAGAGGGUAGCAGAAUUCAUGGUGUAGCAGUGAAAUGCGUAGAUAUCAUGAGGAAUACCAGAGGCGAAGGCGGCUACCUGGACAAUUGCUGACGCUCAGGCACGAAAGCGUGGGGAGCAAAAGGG